rnacentral:rRNA from 1 species
AUUGAACGCUGCGGCAGGCUUAACACAUGCAAGUCGAGCGGUAGCACAGGGGAGCUUGCUCCCUGGGUGACGAGCGGCGGACGGGUGAGUAAUGUCUGGGAAACUGCCUGAUGGAGGGGGAUAGCUACUGGAAACGGUAGCUAAUACCGCAUAACGUCGCAAGACCAAAGAGGGGGACCUUCGGGCCUCUUGCCAUCAGAUGUGCCCAGAUGGGAUUAGCUAGUAGGUGGGGUAAUGGCUCACCUAGGCGACGAUCCCUAGCUGGUCUGAGAGGAUGACCAGCCACACUGGAACUGAGACACGGUCCAGACUCCUACGGGAGGCAGCAGUGGGGAAUAUUGCACAAUGGGCGCAAGCCUGAUGCAGCCAUGCCGCGUGUGUGAAGAAGGCCUUCGGGUUGUAAAGCACUUUCAGCGAGGAGGAAGGUGGUGAGCUUAAUACGCUCAUCAAUUGACGUUACUCGCAGAAGAAGCACCGGCUAACUCCGUG